UCUCAAUGUUAAUGUAUUCCUGCUUACAUUUGACUUUGGAAUAUGUUACAGCUAAUUAUCAUUACACAGGAUGAAAGAUCAGAGCCCUGAGUGAGGUGCUUAGUUUUAGGAACAAAGGGAGGCCAAUUCAGCAUCUUGGCUUUAGGCCCAACAAUUGUAAUCAAACAUCUUGAAACUGAUGCCAUCCAACUGAUAACAAGUCCUGCUGUGUUUUACCAACAUAAAAAAUUAGACUGGAGACCGAAGAGCGGCAGGUGGCUUUUGGCACCAAGAAAUAAUCACACUUGAUGUGGAAAGUAAAGUAAAAGGAGCCAUCUGUUCACUGCAGGAGGACGUGAAAAAUCACAUUAACAUAUUGUCACUAACAUCAUGAAAUACACAGUUAAUAAUAAAUUUAGUUAUCAUGGCAAGUUGCAUUGAGUACUUACUCUGAAUAUACAGAAUGUAAAAGAUGCUCAUAUUUGCUGACCUG
rnacentral:lncRNA from 1 species